AUAUCAUUAAUUAUGCCCCCAUUUCGAAGAAAAGGGGGUAUAUUGCUUUGCACUUGUCGGUCCGUCGGUCCGUCGACCAAAUGGUUUCCGAGUGAUAACUAAAGAACCCUUAGGCCUAGGAACUUCAAACUUGGUAUGGUGAUUGGUCAUGACCAGUAGAUGACCCCUAUUGAUUUUGGGGUCAAGGGGUCAAAGGUCAAGGUCACAUUGACCUUGUAAGCAAAAACGGUUUCUGAUCAAUAACUAAAGAACCUUAAGGCCUAGGAACUUCAAACUUGGUAUGGUGAUUGGUCAUGAUCAGUAGAUGACCCCUAUUGAUUUUGGGGUCAAGGGGUCAAAGGUCAAGGUCACAUUGACCUUGUAAGCAAAAACGGUUUCCGAUCAAUAACUAAAGAACCUGAAGGCCUAGGAACUUCAAACUUGGGAUGGUGAUUGGUCAUGAUCAGUAGAUGACCCCUAUUGAUUUUGGGGUCAAGGGGUCAAAGGUCAAGGUCACAUUGACCUUGUAAGCAAAAACGGUUUCUGAUCAAUAACUAAAGAACUUUAAGGCCUAGGAACUUCAAACUUGGUAUGGUGAUUGGUCAUGAUCAGUAGAUGACCCCUAUUGAUUUUGGGGUCAAGGGGUCAAAGGUCAAGGUCACAUUGACCUCUUGGGUAAAAACGGUUUCUGACCAAUAACAAAAGAACCCUUAGGCCUAGGAACUUCAAACUUGGUAUGGUGAUUGGUUAUGACCAGCAGAUGACCUCUAUUGAUUUUGGGGUUAAGUGGUCAAAGGUCAAGGUCACAUUGAACUUGUAGGUAAAAACGGUUUCCGAUCAAUAACGAAAGAACCCUUAGGCCUAGGAACUUCAAACUUGAUAUGGUGAUUGGUCAUGAUCAGUAGAUGACCCCUAUUGAUUUUGGGGUCAAGGGGUCAAAGGUCAAGGUCACAUUGACCUCUUAGGUUAAAACGGUUUCCGAUCAAUAACUAAAGAACCCUUAGGCCAAGGGACUUCAAACUUGGUAUGGUGAUUGGUCAUGACCAGCAGAUGACCCCUAUUGAUAUUGGGGUUAAGGGGUCAAUGGGCAAGGUCACAUUGACCUUGUAGGUAAAAAUGCUUUACAAUCAAUAACUUAAGAACCCUUAGGCUUAGGAACUUCAAACUUGGUAUGGUGAUUGGUCAUGACCAGCAGA